rnacentral:rRNA from 1 species
AUGCUGCGAAUGGGAUUGAUCGUUCCCAGUACUAGUCCUUUCUCGUCUCCGGUACUUCUGGUCAAGAAAAAGGAUCUGACAUGGCGUUUCUGUGUGGAUUUUCGCCAUCUGAAUGCGAUUACAGUGAAGUCCAGCUAUCCUAUGCCCGUCAUUGACGAGUUGCUCGAUGAGCUCGCAGGAUCACACUGGUUCUCCAAGCUAGAUUUGAGGGCAGGAUACCACCAAAUCCGGCUCUUGCCAGAAGAUGAACACAAAACAGCGUUCAAGACGCACCAAGGGCACUUUCAGUUUCGCGUUCUUCCUUAUGGAGUGACGGGUGGCCCUCCCACUUUCCAAGGAGGAAUG